GACAGAGGGGGCAAGCGUUGCUCGGAAUCACUGGGCGUAAAGGGCGCGUAAGCGGGAUGGCAAGUCGGUCGUGAAAUCCUUCGGCUCAACCGAAGAACGUCGGCCGAUACUGCCGUUCUUGAGGGAUGCAGAGGAGAUUGGAAUUCCCGGUGUAGCGGUGAAAUGUGUAGAGAUCGGGAGGAACACCGGUGGCGAAGGCGGGUCUCUGGGCAUCUCCUGACGCUGAGGCGCGAAAGCGUGGGGAGCAAACGGG
rnacentral:rRNA from 1 species